rnacentral:rRNA from 1 species
UACGUAGGGGGCAAGCGUUGUCCGGAUUCAUUGGGCGUAAAGAGCUCGUAGGUGGUUCGGUAAGUCAGGUGUGAAAGCUCCAGGCUCAACCUGGAGACGCCACUUGAUACUGCUGUGACUGGAGUCCGGUAGGGGAGCGUGGAAUUCCUGGUGUAGCGGUGAAAUGCGCAGAUAUCAGGAGGAACACCAGCGGCGAAGGCGGCGCUCUGGGCCGGUACUGACACUGAGGAGCGAAAGCGUGGGUAGCAAACAGG